UUGUUGAAUAAAAAAUAUUACAUGGAUAUCCCAGAAUUUUCUGUCCAUUUACUGGUGAUAAAAAUUGGAGUUGUUUCCAAAUAAAGUUGAUAUGAAUAUGUACAUACAAGUGUUUGAAUAGACAUAUAUUUUCAUUUAUCUUAGGUAAAUGUAUAGGAGUGGAGUGGCUAGAACAUAUAAUAGCUACAGGUUUAACUUUUUAAGAUACCAACAAACUGUUGCUGAAAGUGGUUCUACCAUUUUACAUUACCUGUCAGAAUUGUAAAAGUUUCAGUCUCUCCACAUCCUUGUUAACGCUUAUUAUGAUAAGCCUUUUUCAUUUUAAGCAUUACUGUGAUGUCCAGUGGUAUAUCAUUGUGGUUUCAAUUUUACAUUUCUUUGAUGAAAACAAUUUGAACACAUUUUUAUGUUUUAAUAUAUUAUGUAUAUCUUUUAUUUUUGGAAAUAUAUGUUCAAAUUGUUUGCCCAAAUUGUUAUGGGGUUGCCUGGUUUCUUAGCAGUGAACUUUGACAGUGUUUUAAGUAUUCUGAACAUGAAUCUUUUAUCAAAUAUAUAAUUUGCAAUUAUUUUCUCCUAAUCUGUAGAUUUUUUUCAUUCCCAUCAGUGUCUUUCAAAAAGCAAAAAUGUUGGCCAGGCACGGUGGCUCACGCCUGUAAUUCCAGCACUUUGGGAGGCCGAGGUUGGCAGAUCACGAGGGCAGGAGAUCCAGACCAUCCUGGCCAACAUGGUGAAACCCCGUCUCUACUAAAAAUACAAAAAUUAGCUGGGCAUGGUGGUGGGUGCCUGUAAUCCCAGCUACUCAGGAGGCUGAGGCAGGAGAAUUUCUUGAACCGGAUAGUCGGAGGUUGCUGUGAGCCGAGAUCAUGCCACUGUACUCUAGCCUGGUGACAGAGUGAGACUCCGUCUCCCAUGUGCAUGAGAAGCUGUUAUGUAAUAUCCGUAACUGGUUUGAAAAUCACUUGCCCAUUCAGUUCAGUUUGGCUUUACAAGCAGUUGCUCAGAGAGGUAGAUCAGUAGCCCUUUCUCAAGGAAGGGCCUGCGUUAUGAUUUCAGCGAGCUCUGUCUGAACAUGAUGUGACCCAGUGGCUACAGGUUUGAACAACAGAGUCUUCCCCUAUCUCCUGCAAUAAAGUACAUGACAAAGAGAAGCUGAGUUAAAAUUGUUGGGCUUUAGCAUAUAUGACAAAAAAAAGAAAUCAAUAGAAAUCUGUUCAUCAGGUAAAGUUUGGGGUGAAGACAGGUGGUUGGUGAAUAUAUAGAACAGCAACUACUUUGGGCGGUCUUGAUGCCAGGUCAACGCCAAAGUCUACCUAUUGGUCUGAAUAAAUAUUUGCCCAUACUCGCAGGCUUGGUCAGGAUUUGUGUAGAAAGUGCACAGCAGAACUGAGCCUAUGCAUUCCAAGUCCUGAGUACCCCUACAAAGGAAGAGGACACAAACGAAAAAUAUUCCCUCAUACCAAGGAUUGUCCUGAAAUCCAAGACCAUAUUUUAUGAGAAGACAUACAUCAGAGAGAGAGAGAUUACAGUAUGCAAUCUCUCAGCUGCCAACAGAACACAGAUGGGCUUGGGAACAGAGAAUGAUCCAGAUCUGCAGGACUGGAGCAAUCCGUGGGAAGUUUGGACAGAAGAUCUGAUGCAUAAGACAGUAAAGGACUAUUGAAUGUUCCAUGAUAGAUAUGCUUGUUCUUUUGCCUGCAUGCCCUUGAAUAAAGACAUUUUGAUCUCCAGGACCAACCUGAGAAACAUAUAAUUUAAUCUAGUUUUGAAAGAAGAGCCCUGCUACACAAAUACUGGCUCACAAUGUUAAGAGAUAUCAACUGAAAUAUCAAAGGGCUUUCAUAUUUCAUUAAAUUGACUAUCCUAUGUGUUUGAUAUUUCCAUUUAAUUGAAUAUUUCUUAACUCAGUGAAAAAUGUAUGAGCCUGCUGUGAUAAAUUCAGUGUCGCAUAUGGG
rnacentral:lncRNA from 1 species